rnacentral:lncRNA from 1 species
UGCCAAGUCCAGAACUGAGGUGGAUGAUUCCUUAUCAGCUUCCCAGUACUGACAGAACCCUUUUGGUCAGAAAUAAAAUGUCCUCGCACCAUGCGGAAAGAUCAAAAAGGAGAAUGGGACAGCCCAGACAGAGCAAGACCAGACCAUAGCGGGGAGUUCAUACAGCCCAUUUAGAUCAAGGAGUGACCAAAAGACACAGAGGAAGAGAGACAGAAGGAUCCAUCUUCAGAGAAGCCUUUGCAGGUGCAUGCAUCGGAGAGAGACAUGAGAAGUAUGAGGACAUCUGUCUCUCACAUCCACCACCACUGGAUCCAGAUGUUUCCUCAAGGAGAGGGAUUGGCUUAUGUGUACAGGACCUUGGGGUACUAGGCUUCACCCCUACACAAUAAUCGGGUCUACAGGUCAUUAGCCAGAAUAAAGGAUACACCCUAUAUAGUAUCUUA